rnacentral:rRNA from 1 species
UGGGGAAUAUUGGACAAUGGGCGAAAGCCUGAUCCAGCCAUGCCGCGUGUGUGAAGAAGGUCUUCGGAUUGUAAAGCACUUUAAGUUGGGAGGAAGGGCAGUAAGCGAAUACCUUGCUGUUUUGACGUUACCGACAGAAUAAGCACCGGCUAACUCUGUGCCAGCAGCCGCGGUAAUACAGAGGGUGCAAGCGUUAAUCGGAAUUACUGGGCGUAAAGCGCGCGUAGGUGGUUCGUUAAGUUGAAUGUGAAAGCCCCGGGCUCAACCUGGGAACUGCAUCCAAAACUGGCGAGCUAGAGUAGGGCAGAGGGUGGUAGAAUUUCCUGUCUAGCGGUGAAAUGCGUAGAUAUAGGAAGGAACACCAGUGGCGAAGGCGACCACCUGGGCUCAUACUGACACUGAGGUACGAAAGCGUGGGGAGCAAACAGG